rnacentral:lncRNA from 1 species
GAAAAGGCAAAGGGAGGGAGGGGCUUUGGAGUCAAAGGUGAUGGUGGUAUUCGGCUCAAGGACAAGGAGGGAUGUAUUUUUGUAAGUAAAUCCUUUUGUAACGUAGUUGAUUUUCUUUUAUUUGCAAGAGGUCGAAGAAAUAUUUAUCAGGCCACAACUCAUAACUAGUAGAUUACAUAUGACCAAAAUUGCUAAUUUCGUCGAUCCAUGUGUGUGAACAUGCCAUGAUUUAUUUUUUAC